GUGUGCGUGUGUGUGUCUGAUCGUUCUCAUACGUUCUGUUUAUAAUCUGUAUUCAGUUUCAUGAGGUUCAGAGCUCCACACAAUAACAUCCAGGUGGAUUUCAGCAUCAGACCUCCAGACAUCUGCCUGAAACUUGUAUUGCAUCACAAUCUCUGACUCUGAUCCCACCGGCUGUAGGCAACAGAGCAAUGAAGGCAUGCAUUUUCUUACACCUGCAAGGCUGUUCCUUCCCUAAAACCCCACAGAGAAGAACUUCAGCUCAGGCACAUUUCCAUAAAUCGAGAGAGAGAGAGAGAGAGAGAGAGAGAGAGAGAGAGAGAGAGAGAGAGAAUAUCAGGAAAGAAACUGCUCAGGAGGAGACGCCCGACAGAGGAGGCCAUUAAAAACCCUUAUGCAACACCUGUCAUCUGUACAACACAGAGCUUUUUCACACUUUUUUGUAGUAACUUACCCAACACUGGUGUCAGUUCACCUGUAGCGUGUACUGUACGGGGUCUUGACACAGCACGCGUGGACACCUGUCAUCAUACCCUAAGUGUUUGCAGUAAUUGCGACUGCAUUAGCAUUAGGGGCUCACAGCAGACCCUCAGAACGCUGCAUAUCAUUACAGGCAUGCUCUCCUGGGAUAUCGCAACACCCUCAUCUGAAUUCAGAAUGCACAGUCAUACUGUAUUUUCUUCAAGUGCUGGUUUUAUAACACC